GAAAGAGUGCUACGGAUUUUGCGAGCUACAAUCACUACAGCAGUUCUUUGAAUGUGACCACAUCCUCUGCAGCUUCUUCUUCCGCGCUUCUCGCCUAGUGAUUUAAUCAUUUAAUAUGUUAAAAAUGAAGGAUUUGCAAGAUGGGUUUUUUCUUUUUCAAUUUUUCGGAGAUUAAGAUUGUAUUGAAUGUAUUUAUUAUAUCACAAGCGUUCGAUCAGACAAGCGAUUCUUGUACUUACUGUUUGAAGCUAAGUUACGUUGCAUGUUCUCCCACUGAGGAUGCCUUUGCCAAUGCCACCCACAAAUAAAAAAACUCGUUUUAUCCAUUGGUGAAACGAAAACCUCAGAUUCUGGUUCUGCCAUUUCGUCGAACACCUUGAGCGCACCUGCAUGGAUAAGUUCUUCCAACUUCAUAAGAUCCAUGGAUGUCUAAACUUCAUACUCCAUCACAGUCGAAUACAAAUUCUCCAUUCCUGAUCAUCAUACUCAAUUGAUUACAUGAAUCGAAUGUAAAUAAAAUAAGAGGAAAAAACGAUGGGAGGAAACUAAGAAACUACCAGAUUCUAAUCUGAACCAACCACCAAACGCUGGACUUGAUUCUUCUCCGCGUUUUGAUUGAUCAGUAACGUUUGUUUGGUUGGUAAGCCCAUAUGAACUCUGCCCAAAAUUAGGGCUCCAGGUUUUUUUUUUUCUUCCCCCAAUUUCAGAGAAAAUGCAUUGGCUCUAUCAAAAUUAGAUUUAUUCAAAUUAGUUAUUAA
rnacentral:lncRNA from 1 species